rnacentral:pre_miRNA from 1 species
CUAAUACUCCCUCUGUCCAGAAUUACUUGUCAUCAAAAUGGAUGAAAAUGGAUGUAUCUAGAACUAAAAUACAUCUAGAUACAUCCAUUUCAAUGACAAGUAUUUCCGGACAGAGGGAGUAUGAG